rnacentral:rRNA from 1 species
AUUGAACGCUGGCGGCAGGCCUAACACAUGCAAGUCGAGCGAGCGGCGGACGGGCGAGUAGUGUAUGGGGAUCUGCGCGAUCGAGGGGGAUAACUACUGGAAAAGGUGGCUAAUACUGCUAAAGAUCGGAUGAACCCAUAUGGGUUUAGCUAGUAGGGGGGGUAAAGGCACACCUAGGCGACGAUCCCUAGCUGGGCUGAGAGGUUGACCAGCCACACUGGAACUGAGACACGGGCCAGACUCCUACGGGAGGCAGCAGUGGGGAAUAUUGCACAAUGGGCGCAAGCCUGAUGCAGCCAUGCCGCGUGUGUGAAGAAGGUCUUCGGGUUGUAAAGCACUUUCAUCGAGGAGGCGUUACUCGCCGAAGAAGCACCGGCUAACUCCGUGCCAGCCGCCGCGGUAAUUC